rnacentral:tRNA from 2 species
GGCGUGGUAGCAAAAUUGGUUAUGCAGCCGCCUGCAAAGCGGCUAUAUGCCGGUUCGAGUCCGGUCCACGCCUCAA